CGAAUGCUGACAUAAGUAACGAUAAAGCGGGUGAAAAGCCCGCUCGCCGGAAGACCAAGGGUUCCUGUCCAACGUUAAUCGGGGCAGGGUGAGUCGACCCCUAAGGCGAGGCCGAAAGGCGUAGUCGAUGGGAAACAGGUUAAUAUUCCUGUACUUGGUGUUACUGCGAAGGGGGGACGGAGAAGGCUAUGUUGGCCGGGCGACGGUUGUCCCGGUUUAAGCGUGUAGGCUGGUUUUCCAGGCAAAUCCGGAAAAUCAAGGCUGAGGCGUGAUGACGAGGCACUACGGUGCUGAAGCAACAAAUGCCCUGCUUCCAGGAAAAGCCUCUAAGCAUCAGGUAACAUCAAAUCGUACCCCAAACCGACACAGGUGG
rnacentral:rRNA from 1 species